rnacentral:rRNA from 1 species
CCAAUAGCGUAUAUUAAAGUUGUUGCAGUUAAAAAGCUCGUAGUUGAAUUUCGGGGUUAGUAGGUUGGUCAUGCCUCUGGUAUGUACUGGUCUCACUGAUUCCUCCUUCCUGAUGAACCGUAAUGCCAUUAAUUUGGUGUUGCGGGGAAUUUGGACUGUUACUUUGAAAAAAUUAGAGUGUUUAAAGCAAGCUAACGCUUGAAUACAUUAGCAUGGAAUAAUGAAAUAGGACGUUCGAUCCUAUUUUGUUGGUUUCUAGGAUUGACGUAAUGAUUAAUAGGGAUAGUUGGGGGCAUUAGUAUUCAAUUGUCAGAGGUGAAAUUCUUGGAUUUAUUGAAGACUAACUACUGCGAAAGCAUUUGCCAAGGAUGUUUUCAUUAAUCAAGAACGAAAGUUAGGGGAUCGAAGACGAUCAGAUACCGUCGUAGUCUUAACCAUAAACUAUGCCGGCUAGGGAUCGGAUGAUGUUAAUUUUUUAAUGACUCAUUCGGCGCCUUACG